AGGCCGGGUUCCUCUAAGAAAAACAAAGCACGCCUGUUGCCAGGAUUCGAAGGCGGAGAGUAAGAGAGAGAUGAAAAUCCUAGCUUUGUGAUUCGGUGUAACCCCUGUCCCUCGUUCUAUCACAGCCAAUCCGACCUAGACCAGUCUUGCUUGGAAAGCCGAGAACUCCUGGUCCCAUGCCAUGAGUUCAAAGUACGAAGAAUGGCGACCACAUGCGACAGACCUUUAGGGGUCUGAGACUUUGAUCCAAGUUGUGCUGUGAGGAGCGAGUCGUGCGUUGGUGGAGGGACAGUGUCUUCAGGGAGCGCGUGCGCACGUGUGUACAGAGUCUCCGUCUGAUUUACAUGAAGAUGAAGAAUUCUCAGGAACAGUCUGUGAGGAAAUGAAGGUAGCAUGACUGGGCAGAGUCAGAAGUUGAACUACAAUGCAGUUGCAACAGAGACAACAGGGGCCAGAUGUGGUGGCUUACACCUGCAAUCCCUAGCACUCUGAGAGGCCCGGGCAUGCAGAUUGCUUGAGCUCAGGAGUCAAGACCAGCCUGAGCAACAUGGUGAAACCAAUCUCUACAAAAAAUACAAAAACAAACAAACAAACAAAAAAAUUAGCCAGGUGUGGUGGCGCAUGCCUGUAUUCCCAGCUACCUUGGGGGCCGAAGUGGGAGGAUGGCUUGAGCACCGGAGGGCAAGGCAGCAGUGAGCUGAGAUCACACCACUGCAUUACAGCCUGGGUGACAAAGUGAGAUUGUGUCUCAGAAAAAAAAAAAUACUUUGUGUUACACAACAGUAGUACAAAAGGACUCAUUUAUACACUCAACAAGUAUUUAAAGACUGCCUGCUCUCUGCUAGGCAUUAAUCUCAUAGUAACAAUAAACUGGGGAGCAGACAGACAAGACCCGUACAUUCUGGUGGAUUCCACUUUUGAACAGAAAUGACUAGAAAAGCCUCUGACUAGAAACUUAUGCAACCAGAUACCAAUAUCAUACAUCAUUAAGUGGAAGUAUUUAUAAGUUUUCUAAUGUACUUUUCCAUUUUGAUUUUCCUAUAUAAAUGGGCACUGUCAAACAAUAAGAAAUAGGAAAUAAGAAACUGAUCAUAUUCAAAUAAUAAAAAUGGUAUUAAAAAUCUGAGAUUUGGGGAACCGCGGCUUAGGUGCAGAUAUGGCCAAGUAUAUGAACCACACCACACACAACCAGUCCUGAAAAUGGCACAGAAAUGGUAUCAAGAAACCCCAAUCACAAAGAUACGAAUCUCUUAAGGGCGUGGACCCCAAGUUCCUGAGGAACAUGCGCUUUGCCAAGAAGCACAACAAGAAGGGCCUAAAGAAGAUGCAGGCCAACAAUGCCAAGGCCAUGAAUGCACAUGCCGAGGCCAAUAAGGCCCUCGUAAAGCCCAAGGAGGUUAAGCUCAAGAUCCCAAAGGGUGCCAGCCGCAAGCUCCAUCGACUUGCCUACAAUGCCCACUCCAAGCUUGGGAAGUGUGCUUGUGCAUGCAUUGCCAAGGGGCUCAGGCUCUGCCAGCCAAAGGUCAAGGCCAAGGAUCAAACCAAGGCCCAGGCUGCAGCUCCAGCGUCAGUUCCAGCUCACGCUCCCAAAGGUGCCCAGGCCCCUACAAAGGCUUCAGAGUAGAUAUCUCUGUCUGCCAACGUGAGGACAGAACGACUAGUGCGACCCCCUGGGGCUGCCGUCUGCAUAGGGCUGGGGUCCUCCUGUGCUAUUUGUACAAAUAAACCUGAGGCAGGAAAA